GACGUAGGGUGCGAGCGUUGUCCGGAUUUAUUGGGCGUAAAGAGCUCGUAGGCGGCUCGUCGCGUCGACCGUGAAAACCCGCGGCUUAACUGCGGGCUUGCGGUUGAUACGGGCGGGCUAGAGUUCGGUAGGGGAGACUGGAAUUCCUGGUGUAGCGGUGAAAUGCGCAGAUAUCAGGAGGAACACCGGUAGCGAAGGCGGGUCUCUGGGCCGAUACUGACGCUGAGGAGCGAAAGCGUGGGGAGCGAACAGG
rnacentral:rRNA from 1 species